rnacentral:rRNA from 1 species
GAUGAACGCUGGCGGCGUGCCUAAUUCAUGCAAGUCAAGCGAACAGAUGAGGAGCUUGCUCCUCUGACGUUAGCGGCGGACGGGUGAGUAACACGUGGAUAACCUACCUAUAAGACUGGGAUAACUUCGGGAAACCGGAGCUAAUACCGGAUAAUAUAUUGAACCGCAUGGUUCAAUAGUGAAAGACGGUUUUGCUGUCACUUAUAGAUGGAUCCGCGCCGCAUUAGCUAGUUGGUAAGGUAACGGCUUACCAAGGCAACGAUGCGUAGCCGACCUGAGAGGGUGAUCGGCCACACUGGAACUGAGACACGGUCCAGACUCCUACGGGAGGCAGCAGUAGGGAAUCUUCCGCAGUGGGCGAAAGCCUGACGGAGCAACUCCGCGUGAGUGAUGAAGGUCUUCGGAUCGUAAAACUCUGUUAUUAGGGAAGAACAAAUGUGUAAGUAACUAUGCACGUCUUGACGGUACCUAAUCAGAAAGCCACGGCUAACUACGU